rnacentral:tRNA from 1 species
UCCCAAGUGGUUAAGAUGGUAAAGAAUCUGCCUGCUGUUUGGGAGACCUGGGUUCGAUCCCUGGCUUGGGAA